AAAAAGAUAAGCUAAAAAAGCUUUUAGGUUCAUACCCUAAUUAUAGAAAUUUUCUUCUUUUUA
rnacentral:tRNA from 1 species